UUUCGAGGCUCCACUUAGCAAAAAUACUGCGUUACUUUCGAUUAGCAAUAAGGGUUGUUUUACUAACGCGAUAGCAAAAUGCUUAUUUUGCUUGAAUUUAGUAAAAAAGCCAACUAGCUAGCCGCUUUGUUCGGAUAGCAGCCGCCGGUUGCGAGAGAAAAAAAAUAAAUCAACGUGAAUCAGUACGAUUGGCGGAACCUGUGGAGCCGGGGCUGAUAAGUCAGUGACGAAAUGGUAGCCAGACUAACACCGGAAGCGUACAGGAACUUACCAAUGAAUGAACAGUAAUGCGGUUACGGAAUCGGGUUCACAAGGUGUGAUGGCCAAGUGGCCGACGGAAGGUGGAUAAAACAUCGGAAGCGAAUAGGUUGCUCCUGCCGGCCCUCAUUGCAGGAUGAUCGACAAAAAGGAACCAUUUUCACCCGGGCGAAAGACCAAUUUUAAAGAUCAAGUGGAAAAAUUAGUUAGUUAGUUAAGUGACUUGCAUUUUUUUUUAA